rnacentral:rRNA from 1 species
CCUACGGGAGGCAGCAGUGAGGAAUAUUGGUCAAUGGGCGCGAGCCUGAACCAGCCAAGUCGCGUGAGGGAUGAAGGUUCUAUGGAUCGUAAAUCUCUUUUAUGAGGGAAUAAAGUGUGGGACGUGUCCUAUUUUGUAUGUACCUUAUGAAUAAGGAUCGUAUAACUCCGUGCCAGCAGCCGCGGUAAUACGGAGGAUCCGAGCGUUAUCCGGAUUUAUUGGGUUUAAAGGGUGCGUAGGCGGCCUUUUAAGUCAUCGGUGAAAGUCUGUGGCUCAACCAGAGAAUUGCAGUUGAGACUGGGGGGCUUGAGUAUGUUUGAGGCAGGCGGAAUGCGUGGUGUAGCGGUGAAAUGCUUAGAGAUCACGCAGAACCCCGAUGGCGAAGGCAGCCUGCCAAGCCAUGACUGACGCUGAUGCACGAAAGCGUGGGGAUCAAACAGGAUUAGAUACCCUUGUAGUC